rnacentral:snoRNA from 1 species
GCCCACGUUACCAUGGAAACUGUCUUUUUGAAUGACAGGCUUCCUUCCUAGGCGUGGUACAGCAAGUCCUUGCUUUUAUUCAUUCAGUCUCUUAUGCUGUUGUCAUUGGAGGCAGGAAUAGAAGAAGAAACAAUU